rnacentral:lncRNA from 1 species
AAUAUUGUUGCAGUUGCUGUUCAUGGUGUUGCCCAUCUUCCCCAUUAUCCCCUGUGUACUUAGACCUGGGUUUUCUGUUUGUCUGUUGCCAGUUCGUCUUGUUUGUCAAGCUUACCAGCGUUCGUCCUGUCAGCCACCUGUCUUUUUCCCGUCCUCCUGGUUUUUGACCCUUGACUGUCCUGACCUUGUACCCACCUCCCUGACCACUCUGUCCCUGAUCCUGCCUGCCGUCCUUUACCUUUGUCCCACCUCUGGAUUAUUUACCUCUG